rnacentral:rRNA from 1 species
AACGAACGCUGGCGGCAUGCCUAACACAUGCAAGUCGAACGAGACCAUCGGAUCUACCGGCGCUUGGGUGCGUCACGCGUGGGAACCUGCCCUUAGGUUCGGAAUACUACUCCGAAAGGGGGGCUAAUACCGGAUAAUUUCCUCGGAUAACAGAUGCAUCCCGCUUGGAUGGGCACGCGUUGGUUUAGCUGGUUGGUAGGGUAUAAGCCUACCAAGGCGACGCUCGAUAGCUGGUCGGAGAGGCAGGUCAGCCACACUGGGACUGAGACACGGCGCAGACUCCUACGGGAGGCAGCAGUGGGGGAUAUAGGACUAUGGGGGGAAGCAUGAACCAGCAAGGGCGCGUGAGUGAUGAAGGUCUUAGGGUAGAAAAGCUCGUUUACCCGGGAUGAUAAUGACAGUACCGAGAGAAUAAGCACCGGCUAACUCCGUG